GACACGGUCCAGACUCCUACGGGAGGCAGCAGUGGGGAAUUUUGGACAAUGGGGGCAACCCUGAUCCAGCCAUGCCGCGUGAGUGAGGAAGGCCUUCGGGUUGUAAAGCUCUUUCGGCCGGGAAGAAAUCGCAUAGGCCAAUACCCUGUGUGGAUGACGGUACCGGAAUAAGAAGCACCGGCUAACUACGUGCCAGCAGCCGCGGUAAUACGUAGGGUGCGAGCGUUAAUCGGAAUUACUGGGCGUAAAGCGUGCGCAGGCGGUUUUGUAAGACAGGCGUGAAAUCCCCGGGCUUAACCUGGGAACUGCGUUUGUGACUGCAAGGCUAGAGUACGGCAGAGGGGGGUGGAAUUCCACGUGUAGCAGUGAAAUGCGUAGAGACGUGGAGGAACACCAAUGGCGAAGGCAGCCCCCUGGGUCGAUACUGACGCUCAUGCACGAAAGCGUGGGUAGCAAACAGGAUUAGAUACCCUGGUAGUCCACGCCCUAAACUAUGUCAACUAGGUGUUGGGUGGGUAAAACCAUUUAGUACCGUAGCUAACGCGUGAAGUUGACCGCCUGGGGAGUACGGCCGCAAGGUUAAAACUCAAAGGAAUUGACGGGGACCCGCACAAGCGGUGGAUGAUGUGGAUUAAUUCGAUGCAACGCGAAAAACCUUACCUACCCUUGACAUGCCAGGAACUUGCCAGAGAUGGCUUGGUGCCCGAAAGGGAGCCUGGACACAGGUGCUGCAUGGCUGUCGUCAGCUCGUGUCGUGAGAUGUUGGGUUAAGUCCCGCAACGAGCGCAACCCUUGUCGUUAAUUGCCAUCAUUUGGUUGGGCACUUUAACGAGACUGCCGGUGACAAACCGGAGGAAGGUGGGGAUGACGUCAAGUCCCCAUGGCCCUUAUGGGUAGGGCUUCACACGUCAUACAAUGGGCGGUACAAAGGGUUGCCAAGCCGCGAGGCGGAGCCAAUCCCAGAAAGCCGAUCGUAGUCCGGAUUGCAGGCUGCAACUCGCCUGCAUGAAGUCGGAAUCGCUAGUAAUCGUGGAUCAGCAUGUCACGGUGAAUACGUUCCCGGGUCUUGUACACACCGCCCGUCACACCAUGGGAGCGGGUUCCGCCAGAAGUAGGUAGCCUAACCGCAAGGGGGGCGCUUACCACGGCGGGGUUCGUGACUGGGGUGAAGUCGGAACAAGGUAGCCGUAGGGAACCUGCGGCUG
rnacentral:rRNA from 1 species